rnacentral:ribozyme from 1 species
UUUUUUUUUUUUUUUUUUUUUUUUUUUUUUUUUUUCCUUGUUCAU